UUCUGCUCUUGCUAAUUUUCCUGUUAGCUGCAGCUCUGAAGUAAAGUAGCCUGGCUUGCCUGACACUCUUGGUACAAAAUCUUCUCCAGCUGAGGCUCCUGCCAAGAGGAGGAGUCAGGAAGACAACUUGCACUAGAGGGAGUUUGCACAUGGACUGAAAGUGAUCGGAAAGGAGGUGUGGGCUCUGACAUCCAGCAUGGCCAGACACCAGCCAAAUCAAGCCAGAGGAUAACAUGGAAAGGAGAGAAACUCCAGAUCUAUAGAGUCCAAUCCAGGCACUUUUCGUUAGCACUGUUGCCAUGAUGCCAAAGGGAAAGCUAAGAGAGCUGCCUAAUAACUAGCAAGAACUACAAGAAAGCAUCAGACUUGGUAAUUGGUUAGAGAUAGUACCCUGGGAAGAUGGGGACAAAAGGCAGUGAACUGUAACCAGCUACACACUCCAAGGUAACUGGCAGUCAACACUGGAUUAGCAACUAAGGCAACUUUAAUAAUUUAACUAUAGCAUUCACAGUAAUUUAACCACACUAUCCAGAACACAAAGCUAAUGGUGAUGUAGUGAAUGAUGCCAGAAUAAAAGUAAUAUACAAAAAGUUUGUUGAAUGCCAGCACAAAAAAGAGUCUCCAUGGAGGGGGCUAAUAUUCAGAUUUGGUUUUUGUUCUCUUUUUUCUCAGCUAACUUGAAAAGCAAGCAUUUCGUUUUCAGUAGUUAUUUACUAUCCAGUAAGUGAAGAUG